rnacentral:rRNA from 1 species
GCUAGUAAUCGCGAAUCAGAAUGUCGCGGUGAAUACGUUCCCGGGUCUUGUACACACCGCCCGUCACACCAUGGGAGUCGGAUAUGCCCGAAGCCGGUGACCUAACCGCAAGGAAGGAGCCGUCGAAGGUGGAGCCGAUGACUGGGGUGAAGUCGUAACAAGGUAUC